rnacentral:tRNA from 1 species
GGGGUUGUAGCUCAGCGGUAGAGCACUCGCUUGGUACAUGAGAGGUCCUGGGUCCGAUCCUCAGCACCACA